GGGACUCUUGCAGGGAGAAGGGAUUCCUUCCAGUGGAGAAAACAUGGUGAUAAGCUGCACAGCAGUUGAAAACCAAGGGAGAUAAAGGAAGAUAUCCUGCUGGUGAAUCAGCAACCAUGGCAAAAUCACUCUCCUUGGACUGAUACAUGUCUCCAUCCCCAGGUUAUCUCAGGACCUCUACUUCCUUGACUUCAUGUGAGAAGCAAAUAAAAUAAGUGUCACUGACAACUGGAACCAUCCCAGCAGCUUAGCUCUAGCCAUCUAUUUGUAUUAAUCACUGCUGCAUAUACAUGGUGAGUGGCUGCUAAUUCAAAAGAUCCCAAGCAUUUAACUUGCUUCACUGUCUUCAUCUUUACUUUUCCUUUACUAGGCAGUAAUUUGCCUUUCAGUUGAGACCCUACAGGUUGAGCCCUCCCCCCACCAGUAUCACCAGUCAUUGUGGACUCUAACCCUCGGAUUCUAAUAUUCUCACAAUGCCUUUUUUCUUUGUGUUUUGUUGU